CUGACCUCGUGAUCCGCCUGCCUCGGCCUCCCAAAGUGCUGGGAUUACAGGCGUGAGCCACCGCGCCCGGCCGCUGCUUUAAGUUCUUAACACGUCCUCACCGCGGCUCAGCUCACUGUACGGCCCCUGCAUAGAGAGGGGAGGGCAGGGGCCAUGAUACUGAACUCACAGCUCUGGGCAUUUCUGAAGUCUGGCCCUUGAAGCUUUUCCUAGAGCAAAUUGUUUUCUUCUCCCCUUCAGGAAACUGAAAAUUCACACAGCAGCCGUGGGAGUCAGAGUAGCAAAGGCUUUGAGAUCACAUAGACCUGGGACACGUGCUUGCUUUGUGAUUACGGGCUUUGUGAGAAAUAUCAGAUCCAUUGCAGGAAAUAAAGAAAAGACAUGUUCUCUGCAGACCCACAUGGCAGGUGCGGGGACUGCUUGCCAACCCAUGGCAACUCACCUGUAGCGCAUGGAGAUUUGGGGGUAAACCCAGUGAUGCUGAGUAUGUGGGCUGCCCAAGCUGGGUGGCAACCAACCCCAGCAUUGAAUGUGCUGAGAGCUGGACCGGUGGAUGUCCCCACUGCCCUGAGGCAGGUCCAGGAGAAGGCUCCUACCUGCUGUGCAGAGGGCAAGGUAAGUCUUGUCCUUGAUCUACAGCCAGAAGACAGCAGGGCUGCUUCUGUCUGCGUCCCAGCCUCCACUCUUCUCUAGAUACCAUCACCACCAUGACAACUGCAGUUAACACUUAGUGAAGACCCCUAGGUGCCACGCGCCCAUGCAAUACCCACAGACCCCUCUGAGGUAGGCCCUGUAAUGGUCCCUACGUUAGGGAGGGGCGGUCCCAGGCCCAGCUGGUCAGUGAGGGAGGUAGGAUUUGAACCCAGGCAGCCUGGCUUUGGGGCAUUGCUCUCUGCCACGUGGCCGGUUCCUACACCCUUGCCAGCUACCCCCUGCAAAGGUGGCCAGCCUGGCUUUGUCCUUCAGGAUCCUCUGAUCUCUCUCAGGGGCCUCCAACCCACCCACUGGCUCUCCCUGCUGACAAAGCAACUAUUUCCUGGCCCCAAAGCCCCAGUCUCUGGAAAUGACCCUCCUUCCUUCUCCAGCUCAUGGCUGUCAGAGGCUCCUAACUGCACCCACCCCCGAUCAGCCAAAGCCAAUUACUCCACGUCCAAGACACAGGCGUGUUAAAAUGUAAACGGCCAUUCAUCAUCUGGCAGCGUGACCGUUUGCCCCUAUCAGGCCCCAGUCCGGCCUCACCACGCCUCCAUGCUCUCCUCAGCGUCAAAGAAACAGCCUUGUCCUGCCAGGGCCUUCGCCAGGCCCGGCCUGGGAAGUCAGGGCUCUCUGACCCAAUGGAGCGAAUCGUUGCGAGCAUUUAUUUAAUAGCAUUAUCUUGAUGAUGAAUAAAUCACACCUUCAUGAACCAUUUUUCCAUUUGUAGCCCCAAGUCAAGACUCCCAAAAUGUUACCAGAUGUCAGGCAUGAAAUAUACACCCCUGGCAAGCUCUGCCAUGCACAGGAGUCAUGCUGCUUUCAAUCCACGGGAGAGCCGGACACGAGCGUUCCAAGGCAGGAGCAGAACUCCAUGUUGGCCAUUAUAAAGACAAGAUUCCUUUUCCCCCGCUUUUUAUAGCCUCUCUGGGUAAGAUGUGUCUGGAAGGAGGUGUGGGCCAGGAAAGAGCAUAUGUCUGAUGCCUGGGAUUCCAGGACAGAAAGUACAGCCGACUCCAAGCUCUUGGGAUGGGAUUGGAGGGUCUCAAAACCUUGCCAGCUUUGGAGUCAGAGAGAAAAGAGUCCCAACCCCAGAUUUAUCAUUUGCUAACAAAUGUGACCUUGGGCAAAUCAGCUCACCUCUCUGGCCCUCAACAGAGAUAAUCCUGGGACCUAUUUCACAGUCAUGGAGAGGAUUAAAUGGGAAGAGGAAUAAAAGGAGUUUGGAGAAGUGCCCAGGACAUAGUAUGCACUGAGCAAAUUCCGUAGUAAGAGGAGUAUUAGUAAUAGCUACUAUUGAUUAGGUGGUGUUGUGAGUUGAACAGUGUUCCCCCAAAAUUCAUGUCCACCCAGAGACACAGAAUGUGACCAUUUGUGGAAAUAGGGUCUUUGCAAAUGUAAUUAGUUAAGAUGAGGUCAUACUAGAUUAGGGUAGGCCCUAAGUCUAA
rnacentral:lncRNA from 1 species